GCGGAGGUUGCCGAGUUGGUCAAAGGCGCAGGACUUAAGAUCCUGUUGCGAAGGCAUUCGUGGGUUCGAAUCCCUCCUUCCGCA
rnacentral:tRNA from 1 species